rnacentral:rRNA from 1 species
GACGAACGCUGGCGGCGUGCUUAACACAUGCAAGUCGAACGAAGUGGCGAACGGGUGAGUAAUACGUGGGUAACCUGCCCUUCAGAGGGGGACAACAGUUGGAAACGACUGCUAAUACCGCAUACUGAAGGAGGGGAUUGCGUCUGAUUUGGUCGUUGGAGGGGUAACGGCCCACCACGGCGAUGAUCAGUAGCCGGGCUGUGAGGAUGAACGGCCACCGUGGGACUGGGAAACGGCCCAGACUCCCUAGGGAGGCAGCAGUGGGGAAUCUUCCGCAAUGGACGAAAGUCUGACUGAGCAACGCCGCGUGGUUGAAGACGGCCUUCGGGUUGUAAAGCUCUGUUAAUCGGGACGCGGUACCGGAAUAGAAAGCCACGGCUAACUACGUGCCAGCAGCCGCGGUAAUUC